rnacentral:rRNA from 1 species
AUUGAACGCUGGCGGCAUGCCUUACACAUGCAAGUCGAACGGUAACAGGUCUUCGGAUGCUGACGAGUGGCGAACGGGUGAGUAAUACAUCGGAACGUGCCCGAUCGUGGGGGAUAACGGAGCGAAAGCUUUGCUAAUACCGCGAUACGAUCUACGGAUGAAAGCAGGGGACCGCAAGGCCUUGCGCGGACGGAGCGGCCGAUGGCAGAUUAGGUAGUUGGUGGGAUAAAAGCUUACCAAGCCGACGAUCUGUAGCUGGUCUGAGAGGACGACCAGCCACACUGGGACUGAGACACGGCCCAGACUCCUACGGGAGGCAGCAGUGGGGAAUUUUGGACAAUGGGCGCAAGCCUGAUCCAGCCAUGCCGCGUGCAGGAUGAAGGCCUUCGGUUGUAACUGCUUUGUUACGGAACGAAGGACUCUUCUAAUAAAGAAGGUCCGAUGACGGUACCGUAAGAAUAAGACACCGGCUAACUACGUGCAGCAGCCGCGGUAAACG